ACAGCAGCAGCCACGGUAAUACGGAGGGUGCAAGCGUUAAUCGGAAUUACUGGGCGUAAAGCGCACGCAGGCGGUCUGACAAGUCAGAUGUGAAAUCCCCGGGCUUAACCUGGGAACUGCAUUUGAAACUGUCAGGCUGGAGUCUUGUAGAGGGGGGUGGAAUUCCAGGUGUAGCGGUGAAAUGCGUAGAGAUCUGGAGGAAUACCGGUGGCGAAGGCGGCCCCCUGGACAAAGACUGACGCUCAGGUGCGAAAGCGUGGGGAGCAAACAGGAUUAGAUACCCCUGUAGUCCCUGUCUCUUAUAC
rnacentral:rRNA from 1 species